GGUAAUUGAGCAAUGUGAGUGCGUUACCAACCAGAGGGGGAAAGCGGUGGCUGUGUUGGUAAACAUAUCAAACACAAACUCUCUUAGGAAAACAGCAACAACAACAACAACACUAGAUUCUGAUUCAACUCACAAUAUCUAUCUCAUGCCUAUAUCUCAAACACCCCUCAUAGCAUACCAAUCCUGCUUAUAUCACACUGUUCAUUAAUACUGUAGCACAACAGAGUGUCCCAAGCUGUAUCGACUGUAUGUCAACCUCAAGUGAGUAGCAUUUGUAAUGCAGAUUGCGCAUGGAGUAUUCUGUUUGUGACACAGCGUGGCUCAAUGAAUGGAGCCUCUUUACAUUAGCGCUUGCAUGCUCUCCCCAGAUAGAAAGCUGUGAGAAGAUCAUGGCUUGGAUUUAAUUAAAGCCUGCGGUUUAUUUUUUCAUUUAUUUUCUCAUUCAUGUCAUUUGUUUUGUGUUUUUUUGUCAUGAAGCCAAGAUAGCGUCAAUAUUCACACAUUGUUCUUAAUUAAGAAGGAGCAGAUAUUUGGUGUCUUGGAACCAAGAGGCACUUCUGUGUAAGAGUACGCUGCCGGAAUAAUAACAAGAGAAAUAUCCAUUUUCUUUUAUCUUUUUUUUUUCCCCCUCCGUGUUUUCUCUCUUCAUUUCAUUCCCCCCUCGAAUGUCUUUGUUUUUCCUUCAGUCAGUCCUCUAAUAGGAAGUGCCCUGCUUAAUUCCGCUUUGAGAAUCUGAUCAAUGGACAAGGCGGGGCUUUGGGAUUUGAUUAGAUCUCAAUAUAGCGGUUCUCUGCCGUUAUUCCAAAUCCGAUUUCAUUUUCUCCGGAGAGAGUGGUGUGUGCGCUCGAGGAUCGGCGGCGGUAAUAACAUUGAUUGUGUUGCUAACCAGUGUCACUUACCAAAGCGCAUGCACAAUGUCCCAUUCGCACAGGGCACCAACCAAUAGACAAACAGUCGAGGGAGAGAGAGAGAGAAAGAAAUCUCCAUUAAUUGAAGCCUCGAGAGAGAAAGAGAGAAAGAGAGAGAAGGGCCCCCGAUACUGCCUGACAUCUUAACUGUGUGAUCAAUACGUCUCCGUACAGCUGUGUUGCCUCUGAGGUAAUUGGCAUCCUGGCGUUGCCGGAUUCCCGCCAACAGCCUCCACACUUCCUCCGUCUCAUCCUGCGGGACAAGUCAGACCUUGAGUGAUGGCUGGGAUAGACAUAGAGACAGCGAGGAUAGACAUAAAGACAGUGAGGCACCGGAAUUUCGAAUGACAGGGAGAUUGAUUCCUCCGGAGAGCCGAGAGCUGAGCGGUUAAUGGAAUAUUGGCUAGUGCCGACGUCGCGGAGCUCAUAACAAUGUGCUCGGGCUACUGUUGGUGAUUGUGGGUAAUUAACGGAGCAGGCCUGCAGUGGGGACAUGCCCUGGGGCUCAGAGGGAAAUGAAGCCACUUUUCUUUUUCUUUCUCGUCUGAGUUUGCGUUUUCUCAUUUUCUCUCAACCAAGUUCCAUUUGGUUGAGGACGCAUUCGUUACACUGACACAAAAGGUGACAAAGGAUCAACUGUACACCUUGAUUAGAAAGUCCGACCGAAUUUGAGAUAUCAGUACAUACAGUGUGAAAAACGACUUUUCUGAGGUGACUGUUUUCCCAGCUGCCUAAAAGACGCCACAGGCCACAUUAGGAGUCACACAGAAGUGUCCCCUCCCUCUCCCCCUCUCCUGCAGCCAUCUCAUGGAGCCUUAAUAAGAGCAAUAGCCAAAGAACCCAUUCUAAUAGCAUCAUUAUCUUUUCACCCACCUCCGCCAUCACUCCCUGACCCGGUACGGAGGGAGGCUCUGUGAUCCCCCGGAAAGGCAGAUGGAGAUCUGAGAGGUGGGCACGUCCGUGGCACAUCCCCGGGUGCAGUGUUUCAACCGACGCCCCGCUGCUGCUCCUGGGCGGCUAUUCUCUUUAGAUUUGGGCUCAAAUUAGCCAGUGUGCCGUGUGUGUGUCUUCUUUUAAUAUCUUCUCGUGUGCAUUCAGAUAGAAAAGAAACAAAGAAAGAAAGAGGGAGGGAGAGAGAGAGAGAGAGAGAGAAUGCCUGACAGUUGACCCAUUCAGGUGGGUAUGUUUUAUAUUUUCUUUACCAGAACAAUAAAAGGGAUGAAUGCAAAGGACAGUAAUGCAAUUUACCUCACAUGAAAGUGAAGAACACGAGAAACUGAGAAAGAGAAGUGAUAUGAAAGCAACGAUGACUACCACUGCACUCACAGAUACACAGACAUACAGUAGAUACACACUGAAACACAAACUCUCUCUCUCUCUCUCACACACACACAUACACACACACACACACACACACACACAAAGUCAUCCUCAUCUCCCUGCAAGCCCAUUUCCUCCUUGCAUCCCCGCUUUCCAUCAGCUCCCUGUCUGUGAGUUAGCCUCUUUUUUUCCUCCUUUCAUUUCAGGGCGACAGGGAAGAGACACUGAGAGACAGAGGGCUCCUCUGGUGCCAAUAUCCCCGUCCCUUUAUCUCUGCCAGUGUGACGCUCCCUUUCGUCCCGUCUCUGGUGCCAGGGAUCCGGUCUGCUUCCGCCAGCGGAGCCCCGCUGACACCCGUCACGUCAGAUGUCAGAUGUUCCCCAAAGGACAGGAUGCGCCGGCACCCGCUAGUCUCUCUCACAAAUCUACAUUUUUUUUGUUUUUUUCAGUGUAUGUGGGAGCAUGUCAUAAUGUUGCAAAUGUCGGCACCCCACCAGACGACAGCCUGCCCACUCCAAGCGAUGCAGCAUCUGGAGGAGGAUGGAGGUGCUGGGACAAAUUCAUUAGAUUUUACAGGCAGUCGCACUGAUUCACAACCCUGUCUUGUUUAACAGUGCCUGUGCUUUUCCGCUGCUCAUGUCCCUCUCUCUCCAUGCUCCGCAGUUUUGGUUGGACCCUCGUGACCCCUCUUGCACACAUCACUCCACACAGUCUGGCACCACUCGGGCGAGCCUGAAGCCGGGGGCAAAUGAAGAUAGCUGGGCAUAAAACAAAAUGAAGAUAGCUGGGCAUAUAACAAAAUGAAGAUAGCUGGGCAUAUAACAACAUGAAGAUAGCUGGGCAUAUAACAACAUGAAGAUAGCUGGGCAUAUAACAAAAUGAAGAUAGCUGGGCAUAUAACAACAUGAAGAUAGCUGGGCAUAUAACAACAUGAAGAUAGCUGGGCAUAUAACAACAGCUCUACAACAUGGAGGAAGGGGCACUGGAACAUAACCAGACAUGAUUCACAGGAAACUGUGAUGCGCAUAAUGGCCUAUUGUACCCUCUGUAACCAGAUCAUAAGCUCAGUAGGCUACUCAGCAAGGAGGGACCCGAAUGGCAUUUUUCAUACUGGUUUAGAGCCACCCCUUGCAAUCUGGAGCCAAGCACACACACAGCUCCAUUUAGUCAACAACAUCACCUUCCAGAUCCUCACAGUAAAGGUGGGCAGCUCACUGAAGCCUCUCCUUGUUUGCAUGAGGUGGGCCGAUACCAAACUCAAGAGCCCCUCUCUCCAACAGAGCUUAUCCCAGCACUCUGACAAAUGUGUCUCCAGCACGGGCUGAUGGAGAGCUCUGAUAAUGACCUGAUUGUAUCUCACUCAGUCUGUUCUCCCGCACUGGAUCUCUGUCAGCGCUGCUGUCAUGCUACACCCAGCGUGAGUGCUGGCUGGCAGGCGCUGCCUUGUAAAUCAGACAGACCUGGUUUCACUCACUGUGAGACCGUCCACAAGAGAGAUGCAGAAACUCAGGGCCAAGGCACACACACACAAAAAAAAGAAGAAGUCAGGAGGACAGUUUAAUUAUGGAUCUCGAAAUAAACCACCCCAACGUCUUUGUUGUUUGUUUCCAGUCAAACAGAUUGUCUUUUUCUUGUUUUUAAUGAAAGCUGUUCAUUAAACUCAAGGUUUUAUAAACUGAAAUGAUUAACUAAAAGUCGAGCCUCUUUAUGCCUGUUAGGCUGCAGUUAAGGGCUUUGGAUGGGAGAGGGGGAAGGCGUCUAUAAUUAAGGAGUCAGUGAUGAUAUACGAAAAGCAUCCUGACGAGUCUCCAAAGACACAAUAAAAGGCUGUUUGCUAACAAGCUAGUGCCAGUAAUGACGGCUGCUUCAAAGAGAGCAGGGCUCUCUGAAACGAGGGCGUUAAGUGGCGCUGACAGAUUCAGAAAUAAUUUUAGGACCUUCGUUUUGAACAGGUGACUAAAGAAGAAGAAAAAUCAAGAAAUGUUUUGAAGUUGACCUCUAGAAUAGUCUCAUUCCUGUAAACCUCCCAUAAAAGUGAGGUUAAAUACACAUACUAUUGUAGUUAUCAGACAUGUUAGCCUCAAAACACCAGGAUUAGCAAAGCCAGGCCAGACAAAAAAAACGAUUUAAAAACGAUUUAAACUUCAUACAUAACAACAAGCCGUUUAGAAUGAGAAUCUGUUUUUCAGGCUCUAUCUUCAUGUUUCAUGAAAAAAAAAAAAAAAAAAAUAUUUGAAUAAACAUACAUGCAGUAGCCAUGACAAAAGUCAAGUGAUAUAAAUACUCCUACGUGCCUCAUUUCAUCUUAGUUUGAGCGCUGCUGCCACCUGUGCUGUUAUUUCUAUGAUCGCAUGCUUAAAUCUAUAUUAUCCCCCAUACAUCUCCUGGAUUAUGACAUGGUAUAUUACAAAAUGGACACUAUGUGCAAUCAAUUUUCAGUUCGACUGCACGCUUUCUCUAUGAGGAGAUUGUCAUUAACUUGCAGAUUAUUCAUAUGUACUGGGCUUCUACUUGAUCCCCAAGGUAGGCUUCAAUCUAGGUCAUAAUUGUUCAUUGAACACUAUAAACACAAAGGAUAUAUCAUUUAUGAAGUUGUUAAGCAAGAGUAUUUUGCAGGGAAAGUGGCUAAAUAUUGUAAAAGAUGACAAAACUGUCAGUAUACCAUGUCACAGCACAGUUUACCUGAAAACUGUAGUAUAAUAGUCCUUUCAACUCUCUCUCUCUCUCUUAAUUUGCAUGAGAGUGUGUGUGUGUGUGUGUGUGAGAGAGAGAAAGUGUGUGUGUAGGUGUGCGUGUGUCUGUAUGUGUGACAGUGUCUUCCAUCACAUCAAACUCUCCUAUUCAUUAUGAGCAGUGCAAUAAAGACUAUUUCUAAAUGA